rnacentral:tRNA from 1 species
AAUUAUAUAAUAUAAAUAAUAUAUUUAAUUUCCAAUUAAAAAAUUUAAUAAAUUAAUGUAAUUA